GAUGAACGCUGGCGGCGUGCUUAACACAUGCAAGUCGAGCGGGCAAUUUAUCUAGCACUGAUUACUUCAAAUGGAAAUCAUAAGUGUAAUCAUGAAUUUCUACCUUUAAUAAAGAAAAAGAAAUUCAUGUACGCAAAUAGUGAUAACACAUUUUAGUGGAGUGAUGAGUGCUGGAUAAAUUGCUAGCGGCGGACGGGUGCGUAACACGUGGGUAACCUGCCCCUAUCACUGGGAUAACACACUGAAAAGUGUGCUAAUACCAGAUAAUAUAAGCUUUUGGCAUCAUUAGCUUAUCAAAGAAUUUCGGAUAGGGAUGGGCCCGCGUCUGAUUAGCUAGUUGGUGAGGUAACGGCUCACCAAGGCAACGAUCAGUAGCCGACCUGAGAGGGUGGAUCGGCCACACUGGAACUGAGACACGGUCCAGACUCCUACGGGAG
rnacentral:rRNA from 1 species